AAAAAUUUAGUUAAAAUAUAACGUUAGUUUGUCAAACUAAAAUUAUUUAGUGAAAAUAAUUUUUU
rnacentral:tRNA from 1 species